GCUGCCCCUCCGGACCCGGGACGCGCUGCGCGAGCCCGCCCGCCUGCGUUUUUGUUUGUUUCCAAGUGGCUGGCUCGAGGAGUCUCUGCGACUCGCCCGUGUCCCCCGAUGGCACUUUGUUGGCUCCCCUCCCAACCAUUUUUUUUUUUACUUUCUGCCUCCUUUUCCGAAAGUGCCGUGAGUGCUCCCUUCGGGGCGUGGGUGUUCACACUCCUCGAGUGAAAUGAAGUCGGACAAGGAUGCGAGCUAGGUGCGAUGAAAUACCACGGAGGCUCCCGAGGCAUCCUUUUCCUUAAGUGGGGCCGGGGCGGGGUGGAGCGGGGAGAGGGAGCGAGAGAUGGAGCUCAGGCUGCAGCCUCCUGAGCGCUGCCGCGUGCUCGUCAUGGGUUCCCUGUCUGCCCCCCAGCCCAAUCCCCGCGUAACUGGGCCCCCGGGACCCAGUGGAGCUGGGCCGAACUGCAGCAGCGACCCCAGCGCGCAGAGGGCUCGCUCCACAGGUUUGAGGCACUUAGGACUGCUGCAGAUGUGCCUGGUUUGUGCGCACCCGCUGAGCCCCUGCCCCCACCCAUCUUUUGGAAACAGAAGUCAUCGGCUCUGGCAUCCUGGGUUAAGCCAGCUGCGGCUUCACCUGGUCCCCUGCAGCCUGUGUAUGGCUGACGCACCCAGGCUAGCUCUGGGCUCACAACUCCCCAGACAAGUGUGCCCACCACCUUCAGCAUUGUGGGCCUUUGCCACGCCCCCCUCCCCAUGCCCAAGUCCCAGCAGGGUCCCUGACACAAUUAGGCAGAGUUCAUCGCUCCACCCACGCUUCGCCUCCGGCUUUACACGGAUGGUAAGUCGCUGCAAAAGCUGAGGUGUCUGCACAUGGCCUGGUUUUCCUUAAGCCUGUCAGCGGCCUUGGAGCCUCCCUCCUCCUUGAAAGCCCUGCUCCGAUGCCGAGCUGGCCACGCUUUCCUGCUAUCUCCCUGGCUUCUCAGCCCCUUGAGUGAUCCCUUCUUACCUCCCUGACCUCUGCAUGUGGAAAGCCCCAGGGGACGCAUCCUUGGGCCCGUUCUCUUUUUUUAUAUGCCAUAUCCCCGUUUUUUUGGCUUUGGGUAUCAUAUACAGGUUAAUGUACCUCAAAUUUCUAUCUCCAGCCCAGACCUGACCCCUGAAGAACAAAUUUACAUGUAACUGCCUCCUCAGCAUCUCUUGGAUGCCCCUGGCAGUUUAAACCCGACAUGUCUGGAGCCCCUUCUCACACAACUACCAAGAUGCCCUUGACCGCCAUGUUGUGAGGAAGCCCAAGCCACAGGGACACCCUGCGCGUGAAUAAAACGUCCUGCAGUUCUGGAAGACAGAAGUCGGAGAUGGGUCUCACGAGGCUAAAUUCAAGGUGUCAGCAGGGCUGUGGUCCUUUGGAGGCUGUAGAAGGGAAUCUGUUUCCUGGCCUCUCGAGUUCCUAGAUGCCACUUGCAUUCCUUGGCUCAGGGUAUUUUCCUCCAUUUUCAAAGCCAGCAGCACAGCAUCUUCAAAUCUCUGUGACCCUCCUGCCUCCAUCUUAGAAGGACCCUGUAAUGGCACUGAGCCCACCUGGGUGAUCCCGGAUAAUCUUCCCUUCUCAGGAUCCUUAAUUUAAUCACACCUACAGAAUCCCUUUUGCCAGUUCUUUGCAGGUUUGUAGCCAGAGGUGGGAUUGCUGGACCGGGCAAGUCCUUUGAGCGGCGUGUCAGAGGGACGCUCAGCUCCACCAAGGCACUGCUUUUGGGCUGUGUGAAUGGAUGCUUUGCUAAGCUGUAACCCACCCAGCAAAACGUUCUGGCUAACAAGAAUGCCUUCCCUUCCCGUGUGUGGUUUCCGCCACACUCUGCCCAGAGUGAGAGCGUGCCCUGCAGAGGAGGCCCUGGCACGUGCCCUGCUGGGACCCAGGGCACACUUGGUAUACAGCAUGCUGGCCAACUUUCCGCAUAUGUGCCAGGAACAUAAGACCGCUUUUGGAAAAGGAACAGCAGCCAAUUGUUUGGACUUGGUUCCUUCUUUCCUUAGAACAGAGGUUGUCAAACGGUGUUCCUGGAAGCCACCCCUCACCCCCUAAUCCCACUAGCACUGGGCUGGGGUCUGAGUUCACUGGCUCGCCCACCUCCCCUCCCCCCAUCUUAGCUCCCUUUGCAUAAAAGCUCCCCUUUUCUCUUAAUACAGAGGGUGCCAAAGAAAUGUAUACACAUUUUUAAGAAAGGAAAAAAACUGUAUUAAAAUU